CAAUCCAGACUAUUUUUCAUUGUAGGAUGGUGUCAAGAAACAUGAAGAGCAAUAGUUUAUGGAUUCUUGGAGAAGAAAUAAGAAAAUAGGAAGAAAUACAGACAAAGGACAAUUUAUAACUUAUAGCAAUAGUAGGUAAACCAACCAGACUGGCCUGAGGUUACCAUUGAAAGAAAAAUAAAAGCAUCAUGCUUUUAUCAAAUGGUUUGGGCAAAGUCCUGAAUUUUCAAAAUUGGUCUCUCUACCCUCUUCAUCCUAAUUAUUACCCAGGAGGCAACUGAGAAGGAGUUGCAUUCAGUGAUAGAAUUAUCUAACUAAGGUGUGUGGGAUCAGGAGGAGAUUGAGGGAGGUAGAAUUGGAAAUCCCAUUGAGGAGGCUAUUCCAGUGUCCCACAGCACCAGAUGCCCAUGGAUGACAGGGAGCACAGAGGGUUCAUCAAAUACCUUGACUAUGAACCCACUGUUGAGUGGCUUUUGUGGUAAAAGGCAUACUAUUUCCAGACUGUUAAAGGUCCAGAUAGCCAAAAACAUGGCAUGGAUUAGUGUCAAGGGCUAAUCAAACUGUAACGGAAACACUAAAACCUAAAAAAGUGUCAACAGUAGUUAGCCCCUGGAUAUCCCUGAGAAGGAAUCAAAAGUCAAUUUUAGAUGAUCUGCCAUAGUGGGUGGGGUCAAUGCCUCACAUAAUGGGUUCUCCUUCAGUGCACAAACAGGUCUUUUGGCCUUGGUUCUGUAGUGGCACCACCACCCGCAAAAUCUUAAUUAAGCUGCUUCAGAAAUCUUCACCAUAAUUGAUCUUAGGACUAUCAGCAAAAGGCUCUGUGCAAGAGUUCAAUGUAAUUAAGCUUCCUAAUUCCUGUUGCUCUAUCCUACUUGGCCAUGGGAUGAAGGAAAUCAGCACUCCAGGUGCUGAACACUCCUUUACUAGUUUUUCAUAACAUUUAUGGGCUAUCUAGUGUUGUAGAUUCUCUAAUCUAAAACAAUAUAUGUAUAAUAGUUUGCAAAAGUUUUCAAGCUGGAAGUGUGUUUGCAAAUGCAGAGUGUGAUAAGGAAGACAGAUUCUUUUAACAAGGUCUCUGGACUUGAGCCAGCGAGCUUCCCAGGGAUAUUUACAUUUCAAAGAUAGGAGAUGAUGUUACUAAUUGGGUUCCAAGGAAACUGCUGGCAGAGGGGAAAAGAAGCUCUCCCUUCUCAAGCGCUGUCCUUGAAGUGUUAACUUGCCCAAAACAGUGAAAGAAAAAGCUGUUUUUGUGUGAACUUCUGCAGAUUAUGAACUUCUGAGCUCCUCCCCUUACACACUGGGUAUAAAGUUUUGAAACAUCCUGAACUUGGGGUUUCGGGGGAAUUGAUUGAUAUAGCGAAAGCUUUUCCCUCUGUACCUAGUUGCAGCCAAAUAAAUCUGCUUCCUCGUA
rnacentral:lncRNA from 1 species